rnacentral:lncRNA from 1 species
AACAUGAAUUUAUUAUUUAUUUAUUAAACUGAGUAUUUACAAUAUCUUGAUAUUCUUAGCAAAAUCUCAGGUGAAAGACAGCUAUUAUGGCCAUUUUAUAAGCAUGCUAUAUGAUACAUGUAUCCAUUUGUAUCCUUUAUAAGUAUUUAUUAAGUGUUCACUACAAGCCAAGUUGUUUAGCUAGUAUUGUCUGGUGGCCAAUGAGAAUUAGAAAGACAGGAGACAGGAGGAGGAGUCGAGGGGCUAUGUCCUAAAGCUGGCCUGGGAGUGGAAGACGGUCACUGCUUCACGUGAGUCUGAGAGGGAAAUAUGGGUGGGGACAUGAAGUUAUUGGUGAGGAAGUGGAAAAUUUUCAGAGCUCUUACUUGAUGGCUUCUAUUUCCUCUGAAGCAGGAGGCGAGGUCAUGUGCUGAAAAAGAGAAGGGCAGGAGGAGGCGAGGGAGCUCGGAAGCUGCAGUGCUUUCACGUUCUCCGGGCCCGGGGCACACGCUCUUCAGCCUGGGAGCGUCCCCUUCCUCUCUAGGCGGAAGUUCUGCAGGGCGGUGCGAGAUGGAAGUGAGUUAAGCGUGUAUAAAUGCUGAAGAACCGAGCCACAGAGAAGGAGCAGCUGAAGAUACAUGGAGGCAGAGGUGAUGGUGGAUGACGUGGGGCUCGGACGAUGGAGCAAGCACGCAUACCGCAGCACUGGGCGUCAAGCUCUGGAUCAAGGCCACGGCAGACACAGGACAAGACCAGAAGAACCUACUUCAGAAUACCUUUUGCAUAACCCCAUAGUAAGUCCAUCCGGUCAUAGAACAGAAAGCUAUUACACAUUUGGGUGGAGGACCAGAGAGGAAAAAAGUGGCACGAAUGCAUUCUACAGAUCCUGUGGAAAACAGAGUGAGUGUCUCUUUCUAAGGAGAAUAUGGGGGCUCAUAGUUUGGUUACUUUGA